GCUGCGGCAGCGAACGUAUCACUUAAAGCGAUUCAGCGGGUUACGAUUGACGGAGCGAAGCGACGUCAAAGCGUAUACAAAGUCGAGUCGGUUUAAGGAUACGUUCGUUGGGUAGGGGAGCGUUCUGUAAGCCUGCGAAGGUGGCCUGUGAGGGUUGCUGGAGGUAUCAGAAGUGCGAAUGCUGACAUAAGUAACGAUAAAGCGGGUGAAAAGCCCGCUCGCCGGAAGACCAAGGGUUCCUGUCCAACGUUAAUCGGGGCAGGGUGAGUCGACCCCUAAGGCGAGGCCGAAAGGCGUAGUCGAUGGGAAACGGGUUAAUAUUCCCGUACUUGGUGUUACUGCGAAGGGGGGACGGAGAAGGCUAUGUUGGCCGGGCGACGGUUGUCCCGGUUUAAGCGUGUAGGCUGGUUUUCCAGGCAAAUCCGGAAAAUCAAGGCUGAGGCGUGAUGACGAGGCACUACGGUGCUGAAGCAACAAAUGCCCUGCUUCCAGGAAAAGCCUCUAAGCAUCAGGUAACAUCAAAUCGUACCCCAAACCGACACAGGUGGUCAGGUAGAGAAUACCAAGGCGCUUGAGAGAACUCGGGUGAAGGAACUAGGCAAAAUGGUGCCGUAACUUCGGGAGAAGGCACGCUGACAUGUAGGUGAAGUGAUUUACUCAUGGAGCUGAAGUCAGUCGAAGAUACCAGCUGGCUGCAACUGUUUAUUAAAAACACAGCACUGUGCAAACACGAAAGUGGACGUAUACGGUGUGACGCCUGCCCGGUGCCGGAAGGUUAAUUGAUGGGGUCAGCGCAAGCGAAGCUCCUGAUCGAAGCCCCGGUAAACGGCGGCCGUAACUAUAACGGUCCUAAGGUAGCGAAAUUCCUUGUCGGGUAAGUUCCGACCUGCACGAAUGGCGUAAUGAUGGCCAGGCUGUCUCCACCCGAGACUCAGUGAAAUUGAACUCGCUGUGAAGAUGCAGUGUACCCGCGGCAAGACGGAAAGACCCCGUGAACCUUUACUAUAGCUUGACACUGAACAUUGAGCCUUGAUGUGUAGGAUAGGUGGGAGGCUUUGAAGUGUGGACGCCAGUCUGCAUGGAGCC
rnacentral:rRNA from 1 species